rnacentral:rRNA from 1 species
UACAGAGGGUGCGAGCGUUGUUCGGAAUUACUGGGCUUAAAGCGUGUGUAGGCGGACUUCUAAGUGCCUUGUGAAAUCCCACGGCUCAACCGUGGAACUGCUGGGCAUACUGGUUGUCUUGGGCCAUCUAGGGGCUACUGGAACAAACGGUGGAGCGGUGAAAUGCGUAGAUAUCGUUUGGAACGCCAAUGGUGAAAACAAGUAGCUGGGGAUGUGCCGACGCUGAGACACGAAAGCCAGGGGAGCGAACGGG